GACAUAGGUCGCAAACGUUAUCCGGAAUUACUGGGCGUAAAGGGCUCGUAGGCGGCCAACUAAGUCAGACGUGAAAUCCCUCGGCUUAACCGGGGAACUGCGUCUGAUACUGGAUGGCUUGAAUCCGGGAGAGGGAUGCGGAAUUCCAGGUGUAGCGGUGAAAUGCGUAGAUAUCUGGAGGAACACCGGUGGCGAAGGCGGCAUCCUGGACCGGCAUUGACGCUGAGGAGCGAAAGCCAGGGGAGCAAACGGG
rnacentral:rRNA from 1 species